rnacentral:rRNA from 1 species
GACGAACGCUGGCGGCGUGCUUAACACAUGCAAGUCGAGCGGAAAGGCCCUGCUUUUGUGGGGUGCUCGAGUGGCGAACGGGUGAGUAACACGUGAGUAACCUGCCCUUGACUUUGGGAUAACUUCAGGAAACUGGGGCUAAUACCGGAUAGGAGCUCCUGCUGCAUGGUGGGGGUUGGAAAGUUUCGGCGGUUGGGGAUGGACUCGCGGCUUAUCAGCUUGUUGGUGGGGUAGUGGCUUACCAAGGCUUUGACGGGUAGCCGGCCUGAGAGGGUGACCGGCCACAUUGGGACUGAGAUACGGCCCAGACUCCUACGGGAGGCAGCAGUGGGGAAUAUUGCACAAUGGGCGGAAGCCCGAUGCAGCAACGCCGCGUGCGGGAUGACGGCCUUCGGGUUGUAAACCGCUUUCGCCUGUGACGAAGCGUGAGUGACGGUAAUGGGUAAAGAAGCACCGGCUAACUACGUG